GAGGGUAUAGCUCAAGUGGUAGAGCACAUGCUUCGCAUGCACAAGGUCCUGGGUUCAAUCCCCAGUACCUCCU
rnacentral:tRNA from 1 species